rnacentral:rRNA from 1 species
CCUACGGUAGGCUGCAGUGGGGAAUAUUGCGCAAUGGGCGAAAGCCUGACGCAGCGACGCCGAGUGAGGGAUGAAGGGCUUCGGAUCGUAAACCUCUGUCAGCAGGGAAGAACGGUCAAUGUGCUAAUCAGCAGUGAAUUGACGGUACCUGCAAAGGAAGCACCGGCUAACUCCGUGCCAGAAGCCGCGGUAAGACGGAGGGUGAGAGCGUUAAUCGGAAUUACUGGGCGUAAAGCGCACGUAGGCGGUAUGUCAAGUCAAGGGUGAAAUCCCCGCGCUUAACGUGGGAACUGCCUUUGAAACUGGCAAACUGGAGUGUGUGAGAGGAUAGUGGAAUUCCAGGUGUAGGAGU